GUGGGGAAUCUUGCGCAAUGGGCGAAAGCCUGACGCAGCCAUGCCGCGUGAAUGAUGAAGGUCUUAGGAUUGUAAAAUUCUUUCACCGGGGACGAUAAUGACGGUACCCGGAGAAGAAGCUCCGGCUAACUUCGUGCCAGCAGCCGCGGUAAUACGAAGGGGGCUAGCGUUGCUCGGAAUUACUGGGCGUAAAGGGCGCGUAGGCGGACAGCUUAGUCAGAGGUGAAAGCCCAGGGCUCAACCUUGGAAUUGCCUUUGAUACUGGCUGUCUUGAGUUUGGGAGGGGUGAGUGGAACUCCGAGUGUAGAGGUGAAAUUCGUAGAUAUUCGGAAGAACACCAGUGGCGAAGGCGACUCACUGGCCCAAUACUGACGCUGAGGCGCGAAAGCGUGGGGAGCAAACAGGAUUAGAAACCCGGGUAGUCC
rnacentral:rRNA from 1 species